AUUGAACGCUGGCGGCAUGCCUUACACAUGCAAGUCGAACGGCAGCACGGGUGCUUGCACCUGGUGGCGAGUGGCGAACGGGUGAGUAAUACAUCGGAACAUGUCCUGUAGUGGGGGAUAGCCCGGCGAAAGCCGGAUUAAUACCGCAUACGAUCUACGGAUGAAAGCGGGGGACCUUCGGGCCUCGCGCGAUAGGGUUGGCCGAUGGCUGAUUAGCUAGUUGGUGGGGUAAAGGCCUACCAAGGCGACGAUCAGUAGCUGGUCUGAGAGGACGACCAGCCACACUGGGACUGAGACACGGCCCAGACUCCUACGGGAGGCAGCAGUGGGGAAUUUUGGACAAUGGGCGAAAGCCUGAUCCAGCAAUGCCGCGUGUGUGAAGAAGGCCUUCGGGUUGUAAAGCACUUUUGUCCGGAAAGAAAUCCUUGGCCCUAAUAUGGUCGGGGGAUGACGGUACCGGAAGAAUAAGCACCGGCUAACUACGUG
rnacentral:rRNA from 1 species